UUUUUGAAACUUUAUUGAACAAGUUUCUCUUGAACUUUUAUGUGCUUCAGGAACUUUAAAUCCUUCAGGGAUUUUCAUAAAAAUUUCAUUAUCUAGUGAACAAUAUAAGUAGGUUGUGACAACAUCCAUCAACUGCAUAUUAGGAAUUUUCAUAAAAAUUUUCAUUAUCCAAUGAGCCAUAUAAGUAGGUUGUGACAAUAUUCAUCAACCGCAUAUCACGCUUUUCACGGACUACCAGAUUUAUUAGAUACCUGAAGGUAAUUGCAUCUACCACAGAAGAAUAUAUCUCCAUAUAAUCAAUCCCAGGCCUUUGCGAAAACCCUUGUGCCACAAAUCGUGCUUUAUAUCUUAUGAUUUCACCUUUCUUAUUUUGUUUUCACACAAAAAACCAUUUGCACCCCACUAGCUUGACACCUUCACACGUUCAGAUUAUUGGUCCAAAAAUUUCACAUUUUUAGAGUGAAGCCAAUUCUUGUUGCAUCAAAUUAUUUCAUAUGUAAUAGUAUAAAUAGAGGCAUGAAAUGUGAGAUGGGACACACUUGAACACUUGAUGAAAUAAGAAAGUUAUCUCUUCUUCUCUUAUUCUACUUAUCUUCUUGUUUUAUAUUGUAACUUUGAGCUAUAUUUCUUAACACAUUUCUAUAUACUAGAAGAGCUAGGUUUUGACCCGUUAGCUUCAUGUCUUUUUUUCAAAGCUCGAGGGUAAUAUUGUCAUCGAAGUAUUGAUUCUAUAUCCGAAAGGUAUAAUAGUUAUCUUCUAUAUUUCUUUUCCUCUUCUUACCAUUUCUACUGGUAUUGUACUGUUUGAAUUAAGUCAAACUAUUAUCAUGAUUAGUGAUCAUGAAAGAAAUAGAUUCUCUCCUAUCUUUCUCUCUACAUUGUUAUCCAUAUUUGCAUGAUGGUUAGAGACUCGUCCUGAUAACGUGUUAUAAAAUGAAAGUAAUUUAGUAAACAUGAACAAGAAAUAUAAGCAACUUAGUGAAACAUGAACAGGAAAUGUAGAUAGAGAAAAGGAAGAGAUUUUCUUCUUCAAUUGUGUAUAGUCUCCUAUCUAUUACAAAGCCUUUAUAUAGGCAUAAAAAGUGAAGAAAAUAUGCCAUGGAAUAUGUCAUUGAACAUACAAAAUAUGUCAUUGAAUAUGUCAUAAACCAUUUGGGAAUAUUCUCAUAUCUAUUACAAAGCCUUUAUAUAGGCAUAAAAAGUAAAGAAAAUAUGUCGUGGAAUAUGUCAAUGAACAUACAAAAUAUGUCAUUGAAUAUGUCAUAAACCAUUUGGGAUGAAGACCAUGGAAGAAGAGUAGACAUCCACCAUAAAUUAAUAUUUAUCGUAACAUGGUCUUCUUUACCACCUCCUGCCGGAAAGACUAGUAUUUAUAGUAACUUCAUGAAUAGCAAUNNNNNNNNNNNNNNNNNNNNNNUAAACAUGAACAAGAAAUAUAAGCAACUUAGUGAAACAUGAACAAGAAAUGUAGAUAGAGAAAAGGAAGAGAUUUUCUUCUUCAAUUGUGUAUAUUCUCAUAUCUAUUACAAAGCCUUUAUAUAGGCAUAAAAAGUAAAGAAAAUAUGUCGUGGAAUAUGUCAAUGAACAUACAAAAUAUGUCAUUGAAUAUGUCAUAAACCAUUUGGGAUGAAGACCAUGGAAGAAGAGUAGACAUUCGCCAUAAAUUACUGUUUAUCAUAACAAAAAGAUAUUUCUUUAUUUUAUCAAGUGUUCAAGUGUAUCCCAUCUCACAUUACAUAUCUAUAUUUAUACUAUUACAUAUGAAGGUUACAAAAUAAUUGUCUUAAACAUGGCAUUAACAAUUGACAUCAUGGGAAAGAUCACAUGGAGGGGUUAUGGAGGUGUGGGAGUUACAAUCAUAAUGGUUAUGAGUAGUGGGUGGUUAUUUAUAUCAUGGGUGAAAGUAGUGGGAGUAGUGGACAUCCAUAUUUACUAAAUAUUUUAGGUGUGGGAGUUACAAUCAUAAUGGUUAUGAGUAGUGGGUGGUUAUUUAUAUCAUGGGUGAAAGUAGUGGGAAUAGUGGACAUCCAUAUUUACUAAAUAUUUUGUAACACUCUCUCUUGGAUGUCAAAAAAAAAUAGAUAAUAUGCCUCGUUAAAAUUUUACUAAGAAAGAACCCUACGGAAAAAAAAUCUUAGUGGAGGAAAAAGGGUACGCAUAUCUGUAAUAUACUUUAUUUGCUGCCUUGUUAAAAGCUUUACCAGUAAAAUUCAGUGGGACAAAACUUAUACUAAGGGAAAAAGAGUACAGCGCGUAUGUUACUCCCCCUCAUAAAAAUAUCAUUUUAUUUCUCGAAGACGUCGCAUUCCAAUCUUCUGUCUCAACUUCUCAAAUGUUGAGGUUGAUAAAGCCUUAGCGAACAGAUCAGCCAAAUUUUCACAUGAACGAAUCUGUCGGACAUUAGUUUUACCAUUUUGUUGAAGAUCAUGUGUGAAAAAACUUUGGUGAAAUAUGUUUUGUUCUGUCUCCUUUGAUGUAUCCUCCUUUCAGUUGAGAAAUACAAGCAUCAUUGUCUUCAUAUAGUAUUGUUGGAUUAUCCUUUUUCAUUAAAAAAUCACAUAUUUCCUGGAUAUGCUGAGUCAUUGUUCUCAACCAAAUACAUUUCCGACUAGCUUCAUAAAUGGCUAUUAUCUCAACAUAAUUUGAAGAUGUGGCAGCUAUUGUUUGCUUCAUUGAACGCCAUGAUAUAGAGUGCCUCCAUAUGUAAACAAAUAGCCUGUUUGAGAUUGGACUUUAUGUGGAUCAGACAAAUAACCUGCAUCGGCAUAGCCAGUUAUUUCUGACUUGAAUUCAUUAGAAUAAAUCAAUCCCAUAUUUGUGGUUCCCCGAAGAUAUCUAAAUAUAUGUUUAACACUAUUCCAAUGUUUUCUUGUUGGGGAGGAGCUGAAGCUUGCGAAUUAGCUAACUGCAAAAGCAAUAUAUGGUCGAGUAUUGUUGGCAAGAUACAUCAGUGCCCCAAUUGCACUAAGAUAUGGAGUUUCAUCACCAACGAGCUCUUCAUUAUUUUCUUGAGGUCGAAAUGGAUCUUUACUUUUAUCAAAUUAUCUCACAACCAUUGGGGUAUUCAAUGGAUGUGCAUUAUCCAUGUAAAAUCACUUAAAAUAUUUUUAGUAUAUGUUGAUUGAUGGACAAAAAUUCCAUUUAAUACAUCCUCAAUUUGUAGGCCAAGAUAAAAAUUUGUCUUACCAAGAUUUUUCAUUUCAAACUCUUUUUAUAAACACUCUGUAGCCUUUGGAAGCUCUUUAGAAGAGCCAAUGCUAUUCAAGUCAUCAACAGAUACAGCUAUGAUGAUAAAUUCAAAUCCAGACCUCUUAAUAAAAAUACAAUGGCAAAUAGGGUCAUUUUUGUACCCUUCCUUUAGCAAAUACUCGCUAAGGCAAUUGUUCCACAUCCUCCCUAGUUGCUUCAAUUUGUAUAAGGAUUUCUGAAGCUUUAUUGACCAAGUUUCUCUUGAACUUUUAUGUGUUUCAGGAACUUUAAAUCCUUCGGGGAUUUUCAUAAAAAAUUUAUUAUCCAGUAAUCCAUAUAAGUAGGUUGUGACAACGUAGGAAUUUUCAUAAAAAUUUCAUUAUCCAAUGAGCCAUAUAAGUAGGUUGUGACAAUAUUCAUCAACCGCAUAUCACGCUUUUCAUGGACUACCAGAUUUAUUAGAUACCUGAAGGUAAUUGCAUCUACCACAGAAUAAUAUAUCUCCAUAUAAUUAAUGUCAGGCCUUUGCGAAAACCCUUAUGCCACAAAUCGUGCUUUAUAUCUUAUGAUUUCACCUUUCUUAUUUUGUUUUCACACAAAAAACCAUUUGCACCCCACUAGCUUGACACCUUCAGGCGUUUGGAUUAUUGGUUCAAAAAUUUUACGUUUUUAGAGUGAAGCCAAUUCUUGUUGCAUCACAUUAUUUCAUAUGUAAUAGUAUAAAUAGAGGCAUAAAAUGUGAGAUGGGACACACUUGAACACUUGAUGAAAUAAGAAAGUUAUCUCUUAUUUUACUUAUCUUCUUAUUUUAUAUUGUUACUUUGAGCUACAUUUCUUAAUACGUUAUCAGCACGGCUCUAGCCUUCUCCAAAGUUAUGUGCAAUUCUUUAUCCGAAAGGUAUAAUACGUUAUCUUCUAUAUUUCUUUUCCUCUUCUUACCAUUUCUACUGGUUUUGUACUGUUUGAAUUAAGUCAAACUAUUAUCAUGAUUAGUGAUCAUGAAAUAAAUAGAUUCUCUCCUCUCUUUCUCUCUACAUUGUUAUCUAUCUUCUUGUUUUAUAUUAUUAGACAUCACAAUAUAUAUACUUGAAUACAUGGAAGAUAUAGAUUCUUUUCUCUCGUUCUCUCUACAUUGUUAUCUAUCUUCUUGUUUUAUAGUAUUACUUUGAGCUAAAUUUUACAAUACGUUAUCAUCAUGAAUUGCUCAUUUUAUGAUCUUCUACGUAAACAUUAUGUGAAUUAUAAGCAUGAGAUCAAGUAAAAUAAAAAAAAUUAUUGGAUGAUAAUGCAAAGAUAAGUUGUUCAUCCUUAUAUACUCAUUCACCCUUUCAUAUAUUCGCAUUAAUUUUACGUGCAAUAUUUAGUUGAAUUUUUUUGAAUUGUAUCCAAUAGUGAAAUCAAAGAACCAGAAAAGUACAUCUUUAAAUUAGUUGCAACAUCUCUUACCGGAAAAAGGAUUCAUUGUUCUAGAAAAUGAUGCUAUGCUACUGUGCAUGUAUGUUGGAGUACCCAUGAUCUUUUGAUAGAAAUGUCCAUUCUAUUAAAUUUAUUUGACAUACAAUUGAGGCUUGUCGGUAAAUCUUUCGGCACUUUGGCUUAUAAUACCGUUGGUUGAGGCAAGACGGUGGGUUCUAGUCUUAUUGUACCAUAGUAACAAAAUGUUGGGUUUAAGUUCCAACAUAUUAAGGCCUAACAUGCUAUUAUGAGAAUAAGACAUCAGAUAUAAAUUCCGAUUUAUAUGCUGAUAUAAAAAGUUGGGUUUGAGUCCCAACGUAUUAUAGCCUAAUAACCGUUAUAUGUAAGGCAUUGAGUUCAAGUCUCAAUGCACCAUAUUGAUUAUAUAAUAAUGACUAACGAAAAAUAACAUAUUUUUUUUAUGAAAAAGCAUGAAACUUGUCUCACUUGAUUUGCACUAUUCUUGAAGUGUAUGUGGCAGAAGUGCAUAAUAAGUCUAAAUGAAGACAAGUGGUUGGCCAAUGAACAUGGACGAGCCAAAGACAAUAAUAGUCAUCAUUAUGAUUAUUAUAAACAUGAGAACAAGAAGGGUUCUCAAAAUAGUCAUUCAAAAUGUGAAGACAAUGUUUAUCACCAAAUUGGUAUGGAAAAAUAAUAAUAAGAUCAUUGUAAUAUUUUUGGUGCUGCUUUUAAUACCUAGUAUCUCAGCCAUAUUUUUGGCCAUCUUAGGGUUAUAAUUACUAGAAAAAUAUAUUUUUGAUUUGGUAGAGUAAUCUUUUCGCCUGAAUGGUUACAAAAAAAUAUCUAGGAACCGUUGGAUUGUGGAGCAAGAUUUCGUAUUCACUUGUGAUAAUAGUGUAGCGUCAUCCGAAAAAAGUUGGACAACGAUUAUUGAUGCAGAUAGCAUCCCAAUUCAAUACGUCCACUUGAUAUAAAAUGAGUUGGGACAACAUUUUCAUACAUAAGAUAAAGAUAUAUGGAGAGGGAGGAUCUCCUUGGCGAAUGCUCCUACUGGGAGAAAAAUAGUUAGUGACACGCCCAUUUACUAGUACUACAAUAUUUCUCGUGGUAAUGUAGUGCAUAAUUAAUUUGGUAAUUGAGGAGCAAAAUUUGAAAAACUUAAGGGUGCAAUAAAUAAAAGACCAUUCGAGGUGAUCAAAAACCUUUUCGAGAUCUAGUUUAAUAAUCAUGUUAGCUUUCUUCCAUUUCAUGUUGUUUAAAUAUUGAAAGAGCUCUUGAAUAGUUAUAGCAUUGUCACUGGCACUAUGAUUUUUAAUGAAAGUAGUUUCAUAAGGGCUAAUGAUAUUUUGGAGGAAAUUUUUAAUGUGAUUUGCUAUAAUCUUAGUAAUGACCUUGUACAUUGUGUUACACGAGAUAAUAGUACAAAAAUUCUUUAGAUCAUUUGCAUUGUGAAAUUUUGGGAUAAUGCAUAGAUAUAUUUUGUUUACUUCUUUCGAGAAACUUUGUGUUUAAAAAACAUUGUGUCAAAAGGAGAUGAUUGAGUUACCAACUAUACUCCAAUAUUUUUUUAUAGAAGAAAGGAUGAAGUUCAUCUGGCCUUGGGGCCUUGAAAGGUUUAAAGGAGAAAAUGACAUUUGUAAUUUCCUAAGUUGUUUGGGGGUGAUCUAAAAAAGAGAGGCCAGCCUUGUGGCUUAUAGGGUUGUAUCCUAUGAUUUGGGACCAAUUUGUGGCAGUGUGAGAUGUUUGAAAUAUAGAUUUGAAAUACGUUACUACAUGAUUAAGGGUUUACUGAUGAUCAUUAAUCCACUGCCCCAUGUUGUUUUUAAAAAAUAUAACCUUAUUCCUUCUUUUCCUAUUAGUGUCUAUGAUAUGAAAGAAGUUGGUAUUUGCUUCUCCUUCAAUAAGCCACAUAAUUCUGGAUCUAAAUUUUCAAUAGUCCUCUUUCAUUAUUAGAAUACUAUUAAACUCAUUGGUGAGGUAUUUCUCAAGAUUUUAGAGAAAAGGGCUAGCAGGAUAGUGAUUGGAUUUUUGAAUACCCUCUAGUCUUGCAAGAAUUCUUUAUUUUUAUGAAAAACGAUGCCAAGGGUGUAUUUUCCACAUUUUAACCUUUUCUAUGAAAUUGGUGGUGGCAUCACUCAGGUCUUGAUUUUACCAGCUUUGUGAGACAAGAGUUAUAAAAGAAGGGCGGGUGCACCGAGUCGAAAAGGUCUAUUCCUACAGGCAGGUUUGGAAAUUAAUUCUAUUAGGAGAGGAUUAUGAUCAGAAUGAGUCUUUGGUAGGUAUAUGCCAUACGCAUGUGGGAAGAUACUAACCCACUUUUCAUUAGCAAAAACUUUAUCAAGUUUUUCCAUAAUAAGAUCAAUAUUUCUUCUUCUUUGAUUUGACCAAGUAUAUUUACAAUAUUUAAAACAAAUAUCAAUGAGUUUUUAAUUAUAAUAUUAGCCCAAAGCUUUUUAAUUCUACAUUUAAUAAAUAGGGUUCCCACCAUACUUUUCAUUAGAGGACACGACAUCGUUGAAAUCCUCCUCCCCCCCCCCCCCNNNNNNNNNNNNNNNNNNNNNNNNNNNNNNNNNNNNNNNNNNNNNNNNNNNNNNNNNNNNNNNNNNNNNNNNNNNNNNNNNNNNNNNNNNNNNNNNNNNNNNNNNNNNNNNNNNNNNNNNNNNNNNNNNNNNNNNNNNNNNNNNNNNNNNNNNNNNNNNNNNNNNNNNNNNNNNNNNNNNNNNNNNNNNNNNNNNNNNNNNNNNNNNNNNNNNNNNNNNNNNNNNNNNNNNNNNNNNNNNNNNNNNNNNNNNNNNNNNNNNNNNNNNNNNNNNNNNNNNNNNNNNNNNNNNNNNNNNNNNNNNNNNNNNNNNNNNNNNNNNNNNNNNNNNNNNNNNNNNNNNNNNNNNNNNNNNNNNNNNNNNNNNNNNNNNNNNNNNNNNNNNNNNNNNNNNNNNNNNNNNNNNNNNNNNNNNNNNNNNNNNNNNNNNNNNNNNNNNNNNNNAAGUGAAUUUUGGGCCACUGACUCAAGGUUAUUCCGAAGAAUAUAACGAGUAUAUUUGUUAGUACUAGCAUAAAUAGAAGUAAAAAAUCUGUUAUAAAGAAAACGUAGUACCUCAAUAGUCUAUAGUAGUCGAGAUUUCCUCGCUUCUACGAACAAAAUUAUGGAUUGUGACAGCGUUGUGAUUCCAAAGAACCAUCGUGCCUCAUGCUUAUCCCUCAGCUUGGAUUUUAAUCAUUUCAGUAAAACCAAAACCGUAUAUCCGGGUGGAGUGGUUAUCCAUCUAGUUUCAAGAAGAGUGACAAUGUAUGUCCUAUAGGUGUCAACUAAUUUUCUGAAGUCUCUCCUAAAGUUUUCAAUCUUAACUCACCGGAUGUUCUAUAUGAUGAAGUUAGUAGCUUCAUUAAUGUUGAUGAUAGGGUCUUGUUAGAGGGUGUUCGCCCUAGCUGGAAUUAUUAAGGAGGGGAUUCCUCCUCGAAUUGUCAACUAGUAUCAUUGCAUGUUGUGCCACUGUUGGAUCUUGAGGUGGCCUUAUGUAAUGACUCGACUGGUUAUCUUAAGAAUUAACACCUCGAUCCCCUAUUAUCUAACUUUCUUGAGUUUAUUUCAGCUAGUUUUAAUUUGCCGGCUGUUCCGUUUUAAGAUCGAAGAGUUUUGGGACACUUAGUCCCUUAAUGGGAGCUUAAGUGUUGAAAAGUUGACCGUAGUCGGAACAGUGUGUAAACAGCCUCGAAAUGGAAAUUUGAUGAUUUUGUUAGCUCCGUUGGGUGAUUGCGGCUUUGGGGAGAUUUCAAAUUAUGUUUUGGAAAUCCGUAGCUAAUUUAUGCUUGAAAUGUUGAAAGUUGAAUUUUGAAGUUUUCGGUUCGAUAGUGAGAUUUUGAUCCGAUAGUCGGAAUGGAAUUCUGGGAGUUGCAGUAGUUCCAUCAUGUCAUUUGGGAUGUGUGUGAAAACUUUCAAGUAGUUCAGACAUGGUUUGGUUGGAUUUUAUCAAAAGCGUAAUUCAGAAGAUUUUUAGAAGAUUAGGCUUGAAUCAUAUGUAUUUUGAGUGAUUUGGUGUUGUUUGAGGUGUUUUGAUGAUUGGAACAAGUUUGAAUAAGAUUUUAGGACAUGUUGGUGCCUUUGAUUGAGUUGUCGGGGGCCUUGGGUGAGUUUCGGGCGGUCAAUCGGAUCAUUUUGAAGUUGGAAAAAUUGCAGAAGUUCAGGUUUUUACUCUUCAUGUUUGCGAAGAGUUACAGGAAGUCAGUGGGAUUUUUGCCUUUGCAUUCACAAGAAGGGCGUCAUGUUCACAAAGGGGUGGAGGCAAGUGCAUCGAGUUCGCGAGAUAGAAGUCGUGUUCACUUAGGGUCUUUUUGGUCAGCUCGUUUUAGGUCAAGUUACUCAUCGCGUCGCAAUGCACGUGACGCGUUCACGAAGGGUAAGGUUGAGGAACCAUCGUGUUCGUGAUGGUCAUGUCUCGAUCGCGUAGAAGGAAAAUUGGUCAAAGUAAAUUGUGCUUUACGAACGCGAGGCUUUGACCGCAUUCGCGAAGAAGGAAAUUAAAUAUCUGGGCAGAAUGUUUUAAAAGGCUUAUUUUGCGAAUUUUAGCCCAGUUUCCUCCAUUGUUAGGCGAUUUUGAAACUUUUUUGAAGAGGGUUGAAGAGGGAUUCAAUGAAAAACACUUGGAGGUAAUAUUUUUGACUUCGUAACUUGUUUUUAUGUGAUUCAAUACCUGAUUAGUGGUAAAAAAAUUUGGGAAAAAUGGAUAAUUAGGGCUUGAGUUUAAGAGGCCUUUAAAUGAGGAUUUGAUGGUCAUUUGGAUUCCGAUUUUAGUGUUCUUGUUAUGUAUAGACUCGUGAGAGUACAAGAUUUCUGAAAAUGUAAAUUUCACCCUAUUACUAGACAUGGGACUACGGGGUAUCUUGGUCAUUUAACCUAAUUUUGUGCAUUAGUUUAAAAUUUAAUUAUGGAAUCAGUUGCUUGAAGUGUUAUUUAUGAUAUGCAAAUGAAUUGAAUAGAUUUGGGCUAUUUGGAGUCGAGUACUCAUGGCAAAGACGUGGUUUCGGGUUGAUUUGAGCUUGUUCGAGGUAAGUGGCUUGUCUAACCUAGUGUGGGGGACCUUCUCCUUAGAGUUUCUAUAUAUGGUAAUUGAAUUGCCUUGUACGUGAGUUGACGAGCGCGUACUUGUGUAAAUUGUUGGAAAUCUGGUUUCUUUAAAACACUUAUUUGUAUGUUUCUUCUCUUGUUUUAUUUACUUGUAUUGUUAAGCAUGUUGAUAGCUUAGGAAAGCAUUUCUAAGUGAUUUAAUGGACUUAAUUUCUCAAUCUAUUUACCUGAACUUUAUGCAGCAUGCUAGGCUAGAAUUACUGUUGCCUUAAUAUGAAAUUUCCCUUCUCUGAAUAUUUUCGUGUUGCUGCUGUGUAUUUACAUUGCGACUACGGAUGUGAGAUUCCGGUAGCUCCCCCUUGUCUGUUUACUUUGGGACCACGUGUUAGAUUUCCGGUAGAUCCCCCUGCACAUUUACUUUGGGACUACGGGAUAGAUUCCCAAUAGAUCCCCCUACACAGUUAUAUGGAACUACGAGAAUGCACCUGGUAGAUUCCCCCAGUACUCGAUAUUUACAUUUAGGACUACAAAUCGAAAUUUCGGUAAAUCCCCGUGCAUUGAUAGUUGGACUACGGGACAGGAUCCCGGGAGAUCCUUCGGACAUAUAUAUGAUGGAUACGGGACGGUAUCCCAGGGGAUCCACUGGACAGUUGUAAUUAGGACUUCAGGAUGGUAUCCUGGAAGAUCCUCGGUUGGUAUUAUUGGAACUGAGUUAUAUUUCCUUCGGUGUUUACAUUAUUUCUACAUUGUUGUGUGUAGUUGUUGUUGUUCUCUAUAUACUGUGUUACUUUUAUUGUUGUUCCCAUGUUAUACUGUUUGUUCCAUAUUAUUGAAUUAUAUCUUUUAUUUAAUCUCAGUAGGGUCCUGACCUUCCUCGUCACUACUCAACCGAGGUUAGGCUUGGCACUUACUGAGUACCGUUGUGGUGUACUCAUACCCUUUCUAUGCAUGUUUGUCUUGUGCACAUCUAGGUACGUCGACUCAGUCUUACUAUCAUUGAGGCGAGGCGACCCCUGUAAAGACUUCGAGGUACAUCUGCUACAUCUGCAGACCGAGAAGUCCCUUUCUAUUCUAGCUGCUAAACAUUGCCCUUUUGUAUUUACUUUCUUGUUAGAUAUUCUGGAGUUAGACUGUUAGAUAUUCUAAAGGCUUGUGGUUCCGUAAGUUCUCGGGUUUUGGGAUAGUGUAUUAAAUUCUGAAGAGUUGUGUUGUAUGUGUCGAGCAUCAUUUAAAUAUGUUUUCUUAAGUUAUUUUGGUUUUUUGUCUAUUUAUUUUGCAAGUUUAGAUUAUUUUUGCAUUGUUCGGCUUACCUAAUCAUAAGGACUAGGUGUCGUCAUGAUAGUUCACGGAGGACGAACUGGGGCGUGACACCUUAUAUCCAUCAAGCACUUGUAUAGCCCUAUUGGACAACUGAGUAUCUGCUUCUGAUCUUGCAUCUCCGUAAAAAGAAAUACCUUUACUUCGUUGAGGCUUCAGAACUCUACCAAUGAUGGUUGGUUGAGGUUGUCCCCCUCUUGAUCUGUUAUAAUUGGCUCUAGUGGUUCUUAUUUUGGAUCUUGUUGAGCUUAGGGUAGUGAUUAUGGUGGUUGUGCCAUAGGAGGUGCAUUUUGAUGUUGGUUCACUGCACGAUUUGCAUGCAUAUCCCAUUGAAUGAAUAUUGGAUUUAGGUUGGAUACAAUCUGUAGUGGAAGAAGGGUAGGUAUAAAGGAAGAGAUUGUGGUUGAAUUGGGACAAAAUGAUGAGGUAAGUUCCAUAGUUCCCUCAUUGUUUGGGUGAGAUUAGGGUUCACGUUUGACUCUAUGGGGUUGAGAAUGUUGUUGAUCUAUACAUGGUUUAUGUAGUUUCUCAUUUCUAGUUGCAUUUCUUCGGGGACCAGUUGAGCAAGAUAGUGUAAGUUUUAGAGCACUAGGAUAGUUUUAUAACCAUCGAUCAUCAUGUUGAGGGGGAUUGCAUGCCCCAUCAACCCAUCUCUAUCUAGGGGUGUGCAUUCGAUUUAUCGAUUCGAUUUUGACCCUUAUCGAUUAUCAAUUUGUAUAUAUUCUUAUCGUUAUCGUUUCAAUAAGGUUUCGUUUUUUUCGAUUUCGAUAUAUCGAUUUGGUUAUCGAUAACACCAAUAAAAACUUAUGGUAAAAUCCAAGAAUAUAUCUCAUCUACAAAUUCCUUGAGUUUGACUAUGGCAACUUGCCUAUUGACAGUAAGUACAACAAAUCUUUUGUUAACUAUUCCAAGUGGUAGUGUAAUCUUAAGUUACAUUUAAAAUUUAAUAUUUUACUUAUAAUUAUAAUAUAAUUUUUGUAAUACAUUAACCCUUAGCAAAAGAUGAUUUUGCCCCCGGGGAUCAGCAAAAAUAAAGAUGAAAGAGGCGUAUAAUGUUAGUAAUAAAGUAUAUAUCUCGGGAACACACCUAGACAAAUGGGUUCAUUGUUUCAUUUAGCUCUUCACGUAUGUCCCUGUGACAGUAAUAAAAAAUGAUUUGACUAUGAAUAUGUUGGGCUUUGAAAAUGCCUACGAAGUUCCCUUCAUUUACCAAAUUAAUGUGACAGUAAUAAAAAAAUGAUUUGACUAUGAAUAUGUUGUGCUUUGAAAAUGCCUACGAAGUUCCCUUCAUUUACCAAAUUAUUCGAUGGCAACAAACGCUAUAAUACUGAAAAUCAAGGACAAAAAUAUAAAAGUUUAAGUGGCAUGCCGCCAAAUUCCUGUCAGCAAAAUAUGUUCCUUAGGAACUUUAUAUAUAGGAGAAUUAAAUAUGAUGUAAUGCCACUAUCAGAUGAUUUAAUUGUUGAUAAUGACUUGGCAAGUAUCAGCAAAUAGAGUAAAAACAUAUGAAGUUAGUUUAAAGACAAAUAGCAACUGACAAUAGCUUGGCAAGUAUCAGCAAAUAGAGUAAAAACGUAUGAAGUUAGUUUAAGACAAAUAGCAAUAAUUUCAAGAGGAAAAGAAAACUUUUACCUCACGAAUCCAUUAUUAUCAAUGUCCGCAGCAAGAAAUUGUGAAACAGUCAAAUCCCGAUCGAGCACCCGUUUUGGGUCUAGGCACAGUGAAGAUUGAAGAGCAUCGACGUUCAAGAAGGGAGGAAAAUAGUGUUAGCUGGUUAUGGAUUAAAGUAAAGGGAAAGGGUAGUAUAGCAGUAUUAUAAAAUAAGGGCAUAUAUGUCUUUUUAGUAUAUUUUAUCGGACAAAAUCGAAAUCCAAAUUGAUACUGGAAAAUUUCGAAAUCGAAAUCGAUAAACCGAUAACAAAUAAUCGAUUCGAUUUAUCGAUAAACCGAUUCGAAUGCACACCCCUAUUUCUAUCUAAGAGAGAGGUUGAUGAUCCGGUGGUAUUAGGGGUUGGACAUAGUAAGUUUGGUGGAUUGGAUAUGUGAGGUGGUACAUGAUGGUAAGUUUACCAUUAUUUAGAUCCUUUGUUGUCUUAGUAUUGAGAUUAUUCUGCACCUUGUUUUCAGGGUGAUUGGAAUUCUUGGCAUGUUUGUUCGCUGGAUUUAUAUGCGAGUGAUUUGAAGUAUUGUUUGCUGCGCUAGUAUGGAGGAUAGGGGUGAGGGGAGAGGUAAUGAUCAACUCUUUGCUUUGCAUGUCCAUGGAAUGGAGUAACUCACCAAAAUCUGCAUGAGAUUUCCUUAAAGGCAUGUGUUUAGUGUUAUUGGCCAUUUGUGUACUAGGAUUUUG
rnacentral:lncRNA from 1 species